GGGGGGGGGUUAUUAACUUUAUGGAAAACAAUAUUCACACAAACAACACCGUUUAGAGCACCUUGGAGAUUAUUAGCCAUGUAAACGGGGAGCAAAAGAGCGGAUUUAACCAACUCUGUACAAACCGGAGCUCCAGGGACAAGACUGCCCGGAGACAGACCCAGCAGAAUCUGGAACGCUAGAGGGAAAAAGUCACACACCCCCGGUUUCGGCGAUUCGUCACAACAAGCGCCAAAAAAGCAGAGACUCCGCACCGGCGAAAAACGGCACAGACGACCACAUAAAUCUAGAGCUGGGGGAUUCCGGCGCCCCGAGCAUUCCGAAUGAAACACCCAAGAGACCUGUUUUUAAGGACAUGUCAGAUGUUGAUGACCAGCUAUUCUGUGAUGCGGCCAACUUUAUAG